rnacentral:rRNA from 1 species
UACAGAGGUCUCAAGCGUUGUUCGGAUUCAUUGGGCGUAAAGGGUGCGUAGGUGGCGCGGUAAGUCGGGUGUGAAAUUUCGGAGCUUAACUCCGAAACUGCAUUCGAUACUGCUGUGCUUGAGGACUGGAGAGGAGACCGGAAUUUACGGUGUAGCAGUGAAAUUCGUAGAUAUUCGCAAGAACACCAGUGGCGAAGGCGGCUCACUGGCCCGGUACUGACGCUGAGGUGCGAAAGCGUGGGGAGCAAACAGG